CUUUAACGAGAAGUAAGAGCAAGCUACCUGUUCCUGAAGGAAAAUAUUAUCUAGUUGAUUGUGGAUUUGCAAAUCGACGCAUUUUUUUAGCUCCGUUCAGAGGUACAAAGUAUCAUCUACAAGACUUUAGAGGUCAAGGUUGUGAUCCUAGUAAUCAAAAUGAGUUAUUCAACUUGCGUCAUGCAUCUUUGAGAAAUGUGAUCGAGAGAAUUUUUGGUAUCUUCAAAUCUCGCUUUUUGAUUUUCAAAUCAGCACCGCCUUUUCCUUUUAAGGUACAAGCAUAACUUGUAUUAGCUUGUGCUGGAUUACAUAACUUUCUUCGUAGAGAAUGUCGGUCCGAUGAGUUUCUUCCCGAAGAAUACAGUGACAACGACGAAGAAAACAAUGAGAGCCACGAAGAAAACAAUUAUGAGGAAAAUGGAGAUACGGGACCUCUCCAAUCUCAACAAAGGGAAUAUGCUAAUAAUUGGAGAGACAAAAUAACUGCUAGUAUGUGGGUAGAAGCUACAGGAACAGGGAGCAUACCAUGAAGAUCAUGAAGUUUUUAUUUUCAAAUAUUUUUCUCUUCUUUGCCUGUGUUGGAUUAAGGGGUGACAAAGAUCUUGGUUUGUUUGGUUUCAUUGUUUGUGACGAAGCUUGUUAUCUUUGAGCAAACUUUUGAUUUUCUUUUUAUAAUAAGUUUUUAUUUACCAGAGAGUUGUACUAAUUUGGUUCUUCGAAUUUGCGGUUUUGAGUCUUGAUAGUCUUGUUUUUGCUUCAUCUUCUUCCUUUGAUAUCUUCUGAUUCAGACCUCGGUUUGGAGAUCUAAAAGUUGUUCUGAAAUCUUGAGAUCAAGAUAUUUCCAACCGUAUAAAGAUGAGCUUCUGA